AUUGAACGCUGGCGGCAGGCCUAACACAUGCAAGUCGAACGAGCGGCGGACGGGGGAGUAAUGUCUGGGAAACUGCCUGAUGUGGGGGGAUAACUACUGGAAACGGUAGCUAAUACCGCAUACCAUCAGAUGUGCCCAGAUGGGAUUAGCUCGUAGGUGGGGUAACGGCUCACCAAGGCGACGCUCCCUAGCUGGUCUGAGAGGAUGACCAGCCACACUGGAACUGAGACACGGUCCAGACUCCUACGGGAGGCAGCAGUGGGGAAUAGUGCACAAUGGGCGCAAGCCUGAUGCAGCCAUGCCGCGUGUGUGAAGAAGGCCUUCGGGUUGUAAAGUACUUUCAGCGGGGAGGCGUUACCCGCAGAAGAAGCACCGGCUAACUCCGUGCCAGCAGCCGCGGUAAUAC
rnacentral:rRNA from 1 species